GCCCCAAGAGCUCGACGGUAGAGCAGUCGGCUGACUGGUCGUAGGUUCAAAUCCUACUUGGGGAG
rnacentral:tRNA from 1 species